AAACUGCGAUAAGUAGUGUGAAUUGCAUUUAGUGAAUCAUCGAAUCUUUGAACGCACAUUGCGCCCUCUGGCAUUCCGGGGGGCAUGCCUGUCCGAGCGUCAUUACGCACCCUCAAGCCCGGCUUGUGUGAUGGGCCCCGGCGUCUCGUUCGCGAGACGGGCCCGAAAGGCAGCGGUGGCGUCGACCCGAUGAGCCCGAGCGUAUGGGGACUUCUGUCACACGUUCGCGGUGCGGACCGGCGCCUGCUUGACUUUUCUGAUUAUCCAGGUUGACCUCGGAUCAGGUAGGGAUACCCGCUGAACUUAAGC
rnacentral:misc_RNA from 1 species